rnacentral:rRNA from 1 species
AACGAACGCUGGCGGCAGGCUUAACACAUGCAAGUCGAGCGCCCCGCAAGGGGAGCGGCAGACGGGUGAGUAACGCGUGGGAACGUACCCUUUGCUACGGAAUAGCUCCGGGAAACUGGAAUUAAUACCGUAUGUGCCCUACGGGGGAAAGAUUUAUCGGCAAAGGAUCGGCCCGCGUUGGAUUAGCUAGUUGGUGGGGUAAUGGCCUACCAAGGCGACGAUCCAUAGCUGGUCGGAGAGGAUGAUCAGCCACAUUGGGACUGAGACACGGCCCAAACUCCUACGGGAGGCAGCAGGGGGGAAUAUUGGACAAUGGGCGCAAGCCUGAUCCAGCCAUGCCGCGUGAGUGAUGAAGGCCUUAGGGUUGUAAAGCUCUUUCACCGGAGAAGAUAAUGACGGUAUCCGGAGAAGAAGCCCCGGCUAACUUCGUGCCAGCCGCCGCGGUAAUAC